GAAGCUGUCAGACUUUUGGCCAAAGGGUAAGGGACUGACUAAUCCAAUUCUGGAGGAAGACAGGAAGCUGAGGACCAUCCUAUGACUGCCAGGAAAAGCUAAGUGGUCAUGAAUGUAAAGAAGAACCCAGUGACCUGGAAUUUGAUGAGCGGUGUGAAACUGUGCUUAAACCAUGUUUGGGAUUUUGCUAGAUGAGUAACACUGAGUUGCAAGGAAGCAGGCAUGCUUGGGGGACAGUUUUAUGAUGAUGGACAAGAAAAAAAACUGUAUCAAUGUGAAUGAAAUGGCUGAUGUUGGCCUGGUCAAGGAGGUUCCUGCCUACAUUCUGGAGAGAGGUUUCCAGGUCCUCCUCUCAGCAGAUACGGGACAAAGGACCAAUGAAUGAAGGUGACUAUAGCAGGUAAAGGUGCACAGUUAGUACCCAAGCAGGACAGUGCCUACUGCUUCUUCGUGGAAGGCUCUCAGAUCUUGUGCAGUCAGUAAGCAGCAUCAAGGGCCAUGGGUACCUCAGUCAUGGUCUCUUCCCUCAGCUGAUCCAUCUCCAUCCUGUUGUUAGUCAGGACACUAAGCUGUAAGCUUCUCUACUUGGCCUUGGAUGGCCUUAUUUGUAAAUCUCAUUCCUUCUAACUUUUCGGUUACCACACAGCCAGAGUCUGACCAUGUUUUUCAACCUACAUCUAUGUUCACAGAGGUAUGUAUGUCUGCCCUCCAAGGACCCUGAAUGGCUAGUGACCAAUCUUUCUUUUCCUGAGGCAGGAUGAAGAGUCAUUAGUACCACUCGGGGCUCCACAAUAUGAGGUAGAACCUGGGAAAUGACUUUGAAAUACAAGGGAUUCCUUUAAUCCCAUUGGCCACACAGAAGAUGGGGUGUUCCCUUCUCCUCCAAGUAUAAGCACCAAACUCAAACUCAACAGUACCACUUCUCCCUUUCCACUCUUGGCAUGUUCCACCAAGGAUAAUGACCUGGGGACCACAACAUAUUAUCUUUUAGUAGAGGAAACCAUGGAGACUGCAGUCUAGAGAUGAGGAGACUGGUCCCUGGUCAGUCAUCACAGUUGGACACUGUGCAGGGCCUCAGACUGGACAUAUCCCCC
rnacentral:lncRNA from 1 species